rnacentral:rRNA from 1 species
AUGGACUCGGAUGAGGAGGAAGAGCUCGCCACGCUGCUGGAGGAGGAAGCCGCGGCCGACGUCCAGGAAGAAGAGCAUCUGAUGGUGCUCGCCGCCCUCGCCCAGCUGCUGGCGAGCAAUGAAAAGCCGCAUCGAGGUGGCUCGGCGCCGGGGCGGGUGAAAGCAAAGAACCGGCAUCGUCUGCAUGGCUACUGCAUGCUCUACUCCGACUACUUCGCCGAUGCUCCACUUCAUGGCGAGAGAACAUUUCGGCGCCGUUAUCGGAUGAGCCGAAAGCUCUUCCUCAGGAUUGUGAAUUCCAUCCGGGAGUUCGACAACUACUUCAAGUGCAAGAUGGAUUGCACUGGCGCUCUUGGAUUCAUCUCCAUCCAGAAGUGCACGACAGCGAUGAGGAUGCUUGCAUAUGGAGCUCCCAGUGAUUCACUCGACGACUAUGGGCGCAUGGCCGAGUCCACCAGCAUAGAGUGUUUCUACAAGUUCUGUCGGGCAGUGGUGGCAGUGUUUGGGCCACAAAAUACUUGA